AUUGAACGCUGGCGGCAGGCCUAACACAUGCAAGUCGAGCGGAGCGGCGGAAGGGUGCGUAAUGCCUAGGAAUCUGCCUGGUAGUGGGGGAUAACGUCCGGAAACGGGCGCUAAUACCGCAUACUAUCAGAUUCACAUAGGUCGGAUUAGUUAGUUGGUGGGUGAAAGGCCUACCAAGGCGACGAUCCGUCACUGGUCUGAGAGGAUGAUCAGUCACACUGGAACUGGGACACGGUCCAGACCCCUACGGGAGGCAGCAGUGGGGAAUAUUGGACAAUGGGCGAAAGCCUGAUCCAGCCAUGCCGCGUGUGUGAAGAAGGUCUUCGGGUUGUAAAGUACUUUCAGCGGGGAGGCGUUACCCGCAGAAGAAGCACCGGCUAACUCCGUGCCAGCAGCCGCGGUAAUAC
rnacentral:rRNA from 1 species